rnacentral:lncRNA from 1 species
AACAGACACAAAAAUUGAGGCUGAUUGAAAGCGUUAAUAAUAAAUGCAUGCAUAUUCCAGCGGCCAAUCCAUAUCACGCUAUAUUGAAGUGACACACCCUUCAAUAAAAUGCAAAGAAAGUCAAAAUAAAAAUGCUCUUACUAGUAAAUCACAACCGAAAUGAAUGACAGACGGACAUUUUUUUACAAAACUUAAUGAACAAUUGAAAUCAAG